rnacentral:tRNA from 1 species
GGGCAGGUAGUUUAAGUGAAAUACCAUACUGUAAAUAUGAAGGUGAGGCGUACUCUCUGUCUA